AAUUUUGGACAAUGGGCGCAAUCCUGAUCCAGCCAUGCCGCGUGAGUGAAGAAGGCCGUCGGGUAGUAAAGCUCUUUCGGACGGAAAGAAAUCGCGCAAGCUAAUACCCUGCGCGGAUGACUGUACUGUCAUAAGAAGCACCGGCUAACUACGUUGCAGCCGCCGCGGUAAUUCGUAGGGUGCGAGGGUUAAGCGGAAUUACUGGGCGUAAAGCGUGCGCAGGCGGUUGAUUAAGACAGGCGUGAAAUCCCCGGGCUUAACCUGGGAACUGCGCUUGUGACUGGUCAGCUAGAGUACGGCAGAGGGGUGUGGAAUUCCACGUGUAGCAGUGAAAUGCGUAGAGAUGUGGAGGAACACCGAUGGCGAAGGCAGCCCCCUGGGCCGAUACUGACGCUCAUGCACGAAAGCGUGGGUAGCAAACAGG
rnacentral:rRNA from 1 species